GCUGGCGGCGCGCUUAACGCAUGCAAGUCGAGCGAGAACUAGGUCUUCGGACCUAGGGAAAGCGGCGAACGGGUGCGUAACACGUGGGUAACCUGCCCUCGACAUCGGGAUAGCCCGGGGAAACCCGGAUUAAUACCGGAUAGCCUCCGAAGCCUUCGGGCGUCGGAGAAAAGGUAGCUUCGGCCUCCGGUCGAGGAGGGGCCCGCGGCGGAUUAGCUUGUUGGUGGGGUAAUAGCCCACCAAGGCGACGAUCCGUAGCUGGUCUGAGAGGACGAUCAGCCACACUGGGACUGAGACACGGCCCAGACUCCUACGGGAGGCAGCAGCGGGGAAUAUUGCGCAAUGGGCGAAAGCCUGACGCAGCGACGCCGCGUGGGGGAAGAAGGCCUUCGGGUUGUAAACCUCUUUCAGGAGGGACGAAGCUACUCGGGUUAAUAGCCCAGAGGGUGACGGUACCUCCA
rnacentral:rRNA from 1 species